rnacentral:rRNA from 1 species
GACGAACGCUGGCGGCGUGCUUAACACAUGCCAGUCGAACGGAAAGGCCCUGCUUUUGUGGGGUGCUCGAGUGGCGAACGGGUGAGUAACACGUGAGUACCUGCCCUUGACUUUGGGAUAACUUCAGGAAACUGGGGCUAAUACCGGAUAGGAGCUCCUGCUGCAUGGUGGGGGUUGGAAAGUUUCGGCGGUUGGGGAUGGACUCGCGGCUUAUCAGCUUGUUGGUGGGGUAGUGGCUUACCAAGGCUUUGACGGGUAGCCGGCCUGAGAGGGUGACCGGCCACAUAGGGACUGAGAUACGGCCCAGACUCCUACGGGAGGCAGCAGUGGGGAAUAUUGCACAAUGGGCGGAAGCCUGAUGCAGCAACGCCGCGUGCGGGAUGACGGCCUUCGGGUUGUAAACCGCUUUCGCCUGUGACGAAGCGUGAGUGACGGUAAUGGGUAAAGAAGCACCGGCUAACUACGUG